rnacentral:rRNA from 1 species
AGCAGCCGCGGUAAUUCCAGCUCCAAUAGCGUAUAUUAAAGUUGCUGCAGUUAAAAGCUCGUAGUUGAAUUUCGGGACUAAUAUGUCGGUCGUGCCUCGGUACGUACUGGUUUAUUAGUUUCUCCUUUCUGAAGAACCAUGAUGUUAUUUAUUUGGUGUCGUGGAGAAUCAGGACUGUUACUUUGAAAGAAUUAGAGUGUUUAAAGCAGGCUCACGCUUGAAUACAUUAGCAUGGAAUAAUGAAAUAGGACGUUUGAUUCUAUUUUGUUGGUUUCUAGGAUCGACGUAAUGAUUAAUAGGGAUAGUUGGGGGCAUUAGUAUUCAAUUGUCAGAGGUGAAAUUCUUGGAUUCAUUGAAGACUAACUACUGCGAAAGCAUUUGCCAAGGAUGUUUUCAUUAAUCAAGAACGAAAGUUAGGGAUCGAAGACGAUCAGAUACCGUCGUAGUCUU